rnacentral:rRNA from 1 species
UAACGAAUCUUCCGCAAUGCACGAAAGUGUGACGGAGCGACGCCGCGUGGAGGACGAAGUUCUUCGGAAUGUAAACUCCUGUCAGGGGAAAGAAAGUUCUGAUCUACCCCAGAGGAAGAGGCGGCUAACUACGUGCCAGCAGCCGCGGUAAUACGUAGGGACCAAGCGUUGUUCGGAUUUACUGGGCGUAAAGGGCGCGUAGGCGGCAUGACAAGUCACUUGUGAAAUCUCUGGGCUUAACCCAGAACGGCCAAGUGAUACUGUCGCGCUAGAGUGCAGAAGGGGCAAUCGGAAUUCUUGGUGUAGCGGUGAAAUGCGUAGAUAUCAAGAGGAACACCUGAGGUGAAGACGGGUUGCUGGGCUGACACUGACGCUGAGGCGCGAAAGCCAGGGGAGCAAACGGGAUUAGAUACCCCUGUAGUCCCUGAGCGGGCUGGCAAGGCGCAU